rnacentral:rRNA from 1 species
GAUGAACGCUGGCGGCGUGCCUAAUACAUGCAAGUCGAGCGAACGGACGAGAAGCUUGCUUCUCUGAUGUUAGCGGCGGACGGGUGAGUAACACGUGGAUAACCUACCUAUAAGACUGGGAUAACUUCGGGAAACCGUAGCUAAUACCGGAUAAUAUUUUGAACCGCAUGGUUCAAAAGUGAAAGACGGUCUUGCUGUCACUUAUAGAUGGAUCCGCGCUGCAUUAGCUAGUUGGUAAGGUAACGGCUUACCAAGGCAACGAUGCAUAGCCGACCUGAGAGGGUGAUCGGCCACACUGGAACUGAGACACGGUCCAGACUCCUACGGGAGGCAGCAGAAGGGAAUCUUCCGCAAUGGGCGAAAGCCUGACGGAGCAAAGCCGAGUGAGUGAUGAAGGUCUUCGGAUCGUAAAACUCUGUUAUUAGGGAAGAACAUAUGUGUAAGUAAAUGUGCACAUCUUGACGGUACCUAAUCAGAAAGCCACGGCUAACUACGUG